rnacentral:misc_RNA from 1 species
UGUGUGUCGCUUUUUGUAA